rnacentral:rRNA from 1 species
AUUGAACGCUGGCGGCAUGCCUUACACAUGCAAGUCGAACGGCAGCACGGGAGCAAUCCUGGUGGCGAGUGGCGAACGGGUGAGUAAUGUAUCGGAACGUGCCCAGUCGUGGGGGAUAACGCAGCGAAAGCUGUGCUAAUACCGCAUACGAUCUAUGGAUGAAAGCGGGAGAUCGCAAGACCUCGCGCGAUUGGAGCGGCCGAUAUCAGAUUAGGUAGUUGGUGGGGUAAAGGCCUACCAAGCCUGCGAUCUGUAGCUGGUCUGAGAGGACGACCAGUCACACUGGAACUGAGACACGGUCCAGACUCCUACGGGAGGCAGCAGUGGGGAAUUUUGGACAAUGGGCGCAAGCCUGAUCCAGCAAUGCCGCGUGCAGGAUGAAGGCCUUCGGGUUGUAAACUGCUUUUGUACGGAGCGAAACGGCUCUCACUAAUACUGGGGGCUAAUGACGGUACCGUAAGAAUAAGCACCGGCUAACUACGUGCCAGCAGCCGCCGUAA